rnacentral:rRNA from 1 species
UACGUAGGGAGCAAGCGUUGUUCGGAUUUACUGGGCGUAAAGGGCGCGUAGGCGGCAAAUUAAGUCAGCUGUGAAAUCUCCGAGCUUAACUCGGAACUGUCAGCUGAUACUGAUCUGCUAGAGUGCGGAAGGGGCAAUCGGAAUUCUUGGUGUAGCGGUGAAAUGCGUAGAUAUCAAGAGGAACACCUGAGGUGAAGACGGGUUGCUGGGCCGACACUGACGCUGAGGCGCGAAAGCCAGGGGAGCAAACGGG